rnacentral:lncRNA from 1 species
UCUGGAAAUGCAGAGGCAGAAGACUCGAGAAAUGUCACAGCUGUUUCCUUAGCAGUGACACGUUAGGUGAGAAAUGUUAGUGAUAGUAAACAGCUUUGCUAAACAGCCUUGCAGCAAUGCUAACUUCACCUUAAACAGUUAGAGCAGGUGCCUCUCUGUGCGUGUAGCAUGAUAAAAGGACAUUCAUGAAGUGCCGUUAAUUUACAGAGCCACUACAAGCACAGGCUGGAACGUUUAUGCACUGUAACUUGUUUUUGCAAGGCAGACUCGUUAGUUGCCGGGAACAAGUGCUUAUAAUGAGAGAGCAAAUUGUUGUUGCAUAACCUGCAGGCCAAUCUUUAGUGACUGCCAAGUCCACAGGCUGCUUCGAGACACGUGUUCCAUUAAAUGGGGUUAUGCAAACAGUAGAGUUCUUUGUCAAACUUUAGAUUCACACUUCACGUUGCAUUUAUGAGCAACAAACAUUGGCAUUGGUUCUACUUUCAAGAAAGACAAAGCUGGCAAUCCAGCAAGCCAUCAUGUGAUGGUUGCACGUGAUGUUGUCACGGUAACCACAUAAACCCCGGUACAAUGUUGCAAUGGUCGAACUGUGCACGCAUCUACAACUAUAAAAAUUCACCGUGGAGUCAUCGCACUGACAUACUGCAAUGCAGGAAAGGUGGCAAGAUAGUAUGGGGGAAAAAACUUGUUAACCUGCAUAAACAGAGGUCGCUUCAGUCAUAACAGCUACAAAAACAAACUUAGCCAACACAUCCAAGAAAGAUGCAAAGUAGACUAGUACUAUAACGAUCUUGCGAUUCCUGCAGAUCCAUUUCGCCUCGAGACUGUUCAGCACAACAAACGAGCAUGUGCUAGGAAAGUGAUGGCAAGGGUAUUACUAACACAAUAAUCUAGGAGGUGCGUUUUUCCUCUCCCCUUUUGCAAGUGAGAGUGGCACUGGCGUGACAUUGACGUAAGUGUGCGUGUGUGUGUGCAACUACAGCACAUUUUUCUGGCAGUUACGCCACGAUUACAUAUCAUGAUCUCCAAAUGAUUAAAUGUACACGGCGUUCCACUCUGUUCCCUCGUGCUUGUGUUUGCUUCCAGUGCAAUACUAGUACUUUGAGGUGGCGCUCUACAGUACAAACCAUAAUCAUAUUUCCAGAAGGCAAAAAUCACACAUUUAAGCUGUACAACAUGGCUGAUACACUAGCACGCCCUCGGAAGAAAUGGAAAGACAACAGCGCCUCUGCAAAUAACAAAGGUUGCACAGAACUUCAAAUGCAAAGCCAGCUGAAUAUACUAGAACAAGGAUAUACUGUCAAGAGGAACGGAACAUACCAAAACCACUUUGAUUGCCAAUAAGUACUUGCACUUGGCUGAAAUAUUGCAGUGCAGUUUAAUGCGGAAGCUCUGAAACUUUGACUCAUGGCUAACUCUGGUUUCCCUCUUCAAAUGUGUGAAAUGCAGAAAUAGUCCUCAUUAGACAAUGACUGAACUAGUUUAAAUGAGGUUAGUUACUUUUUAAAAGCGAAACUGAAAUAAUUCUUGUGUCUGUC